AAUGAACGCUGGCGGCGUGCUUAACACAUGCAAGUUGAACGUGAAAGUCCUUCGGAUGAGUAAAGUAGCGAACGGGUGAGUAAUACAUAAGAAUCUACCUCUUAGAGGGGGAGUACCCUAGAGAAAUUUAGGUUAAUACCGCGUAAUCCCAGAGAUGGGCAAAGGUGGCCUCAUGCUACCGCUGAGAGAUGAGCUUGUGGACUAUUAGCUAGUUGGUGGGGUAAAGGCCUACCAAGGCGAAGAUGGUUAACCGGCCUGAGAGGGUGUACGGUCACAAUGGGACUGAGAUACGGCCCAUACUCCUACGGGAGGCAGCAGUGGGGAAUAUUGCACAAUGGGCGCAAGCCUGAUGCAGCGACGCCGCGUGAAGGAUGAAGGCUUUCGAGUCGUAAACUUCUGUUAAGUGGGAAGAAAUGCGCAUGGUUAAUACCCAUGUGAGCUGACGGUACCACUAGAGAAAGCACCGGCUAACUUCGUGCCAGCA
rnacentral:rRNA from 1 species